rnacentral:rRNA from 1 species
AGAUUGAACGCUGGCGGCGUGCCUAACACAUGCAAGUCGAGCGGUAACAGGUGUAGCAAUACAUGCUGACGAGCGGCGAACGGGUGAGUAAUGCUUUGGAAUCUUCCCAGUAGUGGGGAAUAACCAGUCGAAAGAUUGGCUAAUACCGCAUACGUCUGUAAAGGGAAAGCGGGGGCUCGUAAGACCUCGCGCUAUUGGAUGAGCCAAAGUCGGAUUAGCUAGUUGGUGGGUAAUGGCCUACCAAGGCGACAAUCCGUAGCUGGUCUGAGAGGACGACCAGCCACACCGGAACUGAGACACGGUCCGGACUCCUACGGGAGGCAGCAGUGGGGAAUAUUGGACAAUGGGGGAAACCCUGAUCCAGCGACGCCGCGUGUGUGAAGAAGGCCUGCGGGUUGUAAAGCACUUUUAGUGGGGACAAAAAGCUACGGAUUAAUACUCUGUGGUCUUGAUUUAACCCAAAGAAAAGCACCGGCUAACUCUGCGCCAGCAGCCGCGGU